CAGCAAUGGACGAAAGGUUCCGGUCGACUACUUUCUUAACGAUCCAGACUCAAUCACGGAAACCAUUGGAUCGUGAAGAUACAACGCAAGUGUAGUGAAUGUAUUGGAAAGUGAGUCCACGUCCAUGUGUCUGUCUAUGGCCAGCUGCUGCAGCCCCGUGUGCAAUGGCAGAAGCUUACCAGCGGACUGCGCAAGAAGACCGAUUCCAGGUAUUGGUGGGGCCCUAGCGACACAAACACGCAGACAAGCAGUUGGGGUCAGCAGUUUCUCAUCAAUUUUAUCCGCGAGCAGGGUUGUUGAGGGAGACGGAAAGUUUAGAAGAUUCUCAUGUCAACCUAGUUUCAGCAGCAAUCAAGGAGACUAUUGUUUGCAGAGGAGGGCACUUCGAGGGGUCUGGAGAAGGGAUUUUACUCGUGGUUGUGAUGUUAGAGGUGGUGGUAUUCAGGUAGUAAGUUUGGAGCGAGAGCGAGCGAUCAGGUGUUGUAGCGAAAACAAAGACGCCAUGGCCAGUAGUAGGAAACUACCACACCUGCAAGGCAUUCUGUUCAAGUAUGGCAGCAAAUCUAACCAGGUAGCAUUCAAAACAGGAAACUAUAAGCAGCAGGUUGUCUUCAUUGGGGGACUUACGGAUGGGUUCCUUGCAACAGAUUAUGUCGAGCCACUUGCAAAAGCGCUGGAAGCCGAAAAAUGGUCAUUGGUGCAGCCACUUUUGACGUCUUCUUACACGGGGUUUGGGACCUCAAGUCUGAAGGAGGACGCAGUAGAGAUUGAACUGCUUCUCAACUACUUAAUCGACCAGGAAGAUUCCGAAGGGUUCAUUCUUGUUGGUCAUAGCACUGGUUGCCAGGAUAUUGUUCAUUACUUGCGGACUGGAGGGCAUUGCACACGCGCAGUGAGGGGCGCUAUUUUGCAAGCACCAGUCAGUGACAGAGAAUUCCGAGCUACGUUACCCGAGACGCAGCCCAUGCUUGAACUGGCUGAGCGAAUGAUCAAGGAAGGUAAAGGCGAAGAAUUGAUGCCCCGAGAUGCCAGUCCAGAAGCACCAAUUACAGCUAAUAGGUUCCGAUCACUAUGUGCGUACAUGGGCGAUGAUGAUCUGUUCAGUUCAGACUUCACUGAUGCGCAGCUGAAGGCGCUAUUGGGGCACAUGUCACGGGUACCUUGUCAGGUACGGUCAGCAUUUUCACAGCUGUGGUUAAGUGUGGAACUCUCCGAUUGAAGGUAAUAUUCUCUAUGUCAGACGAGUAUGUGCCGGACUACGUUGACAAAGCCAAGUUACUCAAGCGGCUUUGUGAUGCUAUGGGAGGAGCGGAGAGGGCGGCUAUUCCAUGGGGCAAUCAUAGUUUAUCAAACCGCGUUGAGGAAACUGUGCGAACGAUGAUAUCUUUCAUCAAGAAAGGUGGACCCAAAGGUUGGGAUGAUCCUUGGGGUUGAGCCAAGUAUGAGCGCAAAUGCCUUCCCAAACCAUGUAGUUCAUGAUCCAAUGCAGCCAGUGUAAAUUUUAAACCUUACAACAUUGACUCACGUGUAUUUGUUGUGAAGAUAUUAAGACCAAGAUCUUCAAGGCUAAUAAACCUAUCCCGUAAUAUGCCAUCGGGUUUCCGCAUUCGCAUUUAAAUGUCAAAUUUGAUUUGUGAGUCUUGUACCUGGAGAAACUUGUUGAGUCAACAGAAUGCUAUGCUUAGAUCCCAAGAAAUAUACAAGGUGAUUUGUUCAA